rnacentral:rRNA from 1 species
GCAACAGCUCAAAUUUGAAAUCUGGCGCAAGCCCGAGUUGUAAUUUGCAGAGGAUGUUUCGGGUGAAGCCACGGUCCAAGUCCCUUGGAACAGGACGUCAUAGAGGGUGAGAACCCCGUACCUGGCCGUCGGUGCCCCCCGCUGUGAAACUCCUUCGACGAGUCGAGUUGUUUGGGAAUGCAGCUCUAAAUUGGUGGUAAAUUCCAUCUAAAGCUAAAUACCGGCCAGAGACCGAUAGCGCACAAGUAGAGUGAUCGAAAGAUGAAAAGCACUUUGAAAAGAGAGUUAAAAAGUACGUGAAAUUGUUGAAAGGGAAGCGCUUGCGGCCAGACUUGCCCGCGGUUGCUCAGCCCGCCUUUUGGCGGGUGCACUCUUCCGCGGUCAGGCCAGCAUCGGUUUGGGCGGCCGGAUAAAGGCGCCGGGAACGUGGCCUCCCCUCGGGGAGGUGUUAUAGCCCGGCGCGCAAUGCGACCAGCCCGGACCGAGGUUCGCGCUCUGCUAGGAUGCUGGCGUAAUGGCCGUAAGCGGCCCGUCUUGAAACACGGACCAAGGAGUCUAACAUCUAUGCGAGUGUUUGGGUGUCAAACCCGUGCGCGUAAUGAAAGUGAACGGAGGUGGGAACCGCAAGGUGCACCAUCGACCGAUCCUGAUGUCUUCGGAAGGAUUUGAGUAAGAGCAUAGCUGUUGGGACCCGAAAGAUGGUGAACUAUGCGUGAAUAGGGUGAAGCCAGAGGAAACUCUGGUGGAGGCUCGCAGCGGUUCUGACGUGCAAAUCGAUCGUCAA